rnacentral:rRNA from 1 species
GACGUAGGGCGCGAGCGUUGUCCGGAUUUAUUGGGCGUAAAGAGCUCGUAGGCGGCUUGUCGCGUCGAAUGUGAAAACUCGGGGCUCAACCCCGCGCUUGCAUUCGAUACGGGCAGACUAGAGUGUGGCAGGGGAGACUGGAAUUCCUGGUGUAGCGGUGAAAUGCGCAGAUAUCAGGAGGAACACCGGUGGCGAAGGCGGGUCUCUGGGCCAAUACUGACGCUGAGGAGCGAAAGCGUGGGGAGCGAACAGG